UACGUAGGGGGCAAGCGUUGUCCGGAUUUAUUGGGCGUAAAGAGCGUGUAGGCGGCCUGGAAGGUCAGCUGUGAAAACUCGAGGCUCAACCUCGAGACGUCGGUUGAAACCACCUGGCUAGAGUCCGGAAGAGGAGUGUGGAAUUCCCGGUGUAGCGGUGGAAUGCGCAGAUAUCGGGAGGAACACCAAUAGCGAAGGCAGCUCGCUGGGACGGUACUGACGCUAAGGCGCGAAAGCGUGGGGAGCGAACAGG
rnacentral:rRNA from 1 species